AUACGUAGGGUGCGAGCGUUAAUCGGAAUUACUGGGCGUAAAGGGUGCGCAGGCGGUUGUGCAAGACAGGCGUGAAAUCCCCGGGCUUAACCUGGGAAUGGCGCUUGUGACUGCACGGCUAGAGUGUGUCAGAGGGGGGUAGAAUUCCACGUGUAGCAGUGAAAUGCGUAGAUAUGUGGAGGAAUACCGAUGGCGAAGGCAGCCCCCUGGGAUAACACUGACGCUCAUGCACGAAAGCGUGGGGAGCAAACAGGAUUAGAUACCCUGGUAGUCCACGCCCUAAACGAUGUCAACUAGUUGUCGCGUCUUAACUGACUUGGUAACGCAGCUAACGCGUGAAGUUGACCGCCUGGGGAGUACGGUCGCAAGAUUAAA
rnacentral:rRNA from 1 species